AUGGCCUCAGAUAGUAAGCUAACAAAUCCAGACGCCUAUGAUAGGGUAAUCUCGGUAGAGAUCCCUAGCUGUGAGAAGUACCCUGUGUUGCAUGGACUGGUUAUCAAGCAUAUGCUCCACGACCCAUGUGGUACUCUCCAGAAGAAUUGUCCUUGCAUGAUAGAUGGAAAUUGUCGUUUUCGUUACCUUCGACAGUUUUGCCCUGCAACACAACAAGGAAAGGACCCAUACCCUAUAUAUAGAAGAAGGGAUGAUGGCCGCCAAGUCAAAGUUAGGAAUGCAGUGUUGGACAACAGAUGGGUUGUCCCGUACAACCCCGGAUUGCUUAUGAGAUAUAAUUGUCACAUUAAUGUUGAAGCUUGCUCAAGCAUAAAGGCAGUCAAAUAUUUGUACAAGUACAUAUACAAGGGGCAUGAUCGUGCUUCCUUCUCAGUUGACCCGGCGGCAACUGAUGGUGGUGUGAUAAAUGAGAUUCGGCAAUACAGGGAUGCAAGGUUUGUAACACCAGUAGAGUCUAUGUACAGGGUAUGUGCUUUCCGUAUGUUUGGUGUCUCUCCUGCUGUGUUGCAACUACAGCUGCAUUUGCCCAGCAUGCAUACUGUUGCAAUCAGCGGUGCUGAUAACCUAGAGGAUGUCAUGAACCGACCGUCCUCUUCUUAA
rnacentral:rRNA from 1 species